rnacentral:rRNA from 1 species
GUAACAGCUCACUGGUCUAGUGGUUCCGCGCCGACAAUGUAGCGGGGCUCAAGCACACCACCGAAGACGCGGCAGUAGCUUUGCUACUGGGUAGGAGAGCGUCCCAUGCGGGGCGAAGCGGCGGCGCAAGCCCGCCGUGGACCGCAUGGGAGUGAGAAUGCAGACAUGAGUAGCGAAAGACGGGUGAAGAUCCCGUCCGCUGGACGACCAAGGGUUCCAGGGCCACGUUCAUCGUCCCUGGGUGAGUCGGGUCCUAAGGCGAGGCCGACAGGCGUAGUCGAAUGGAUGAACGGGUCGAUAUUCCCGUACCGGCAUGCAACCGACAAAACCGAAUCCGCGAGUACUAACCUCCGGGUCCGGGCUUACGUCUCCUUCGGGAGCCGGAUGCCCUGGCCUGUUGGGACCGUAACGGUAGUAGGUCAGCGCGGGAGUGACGCAGAAGGGUAGCCGGCCGCGGAGGUGGUCUUCCGUGGUCAAGCACGCAGCCCGUCCCACAGGCAAAUCCGUGGGGCGCGUGGGCGAGGUGCGAUGAUGGGCGCCGCAGGGCGCGAUAUCCGGUGAUCCCGGCUGCCGAGAAAAGCUUCGGCGUGAGGCGGCGUGCCGCCCGUACCCCAAACCGACACUGGUGGUCAGGUAGAGAAUACCAAAGCGAUCGAGCGAAUCCUGGUCAAGGAACUCGGCAAAUCACUCCCGUUCCUUCGGUUUAAGGGAGACCCCCGAUGGUGAAGCGGCUUGCCCGUGGAGCCUUUGGGGGUGGCACAGACCAGGGGGUAGCGACUGUUUACCAAAAACACAGGAGCGUGCGAAGGCGCAAGCCGCUGUAUACGCUCUGACGCCUGCCCGGUGCCGGAAGGUUAAGAGGAUCCGUCAGGCUUCGGCCGAAGCGGUGAAUUCAAGCCCCGGUAAACGGCGGUGGUAACUAUAACCAUCCUAAGGUAGCGAAAUUCCUUGUCGGGUAAGUUCCGACCUGCACGAAUGGCGUAACGACUUCCCCACUGUCUCGACCAGGAGCUCGGCGAAAUUGCAGUACGAGUAAAGAUGCUCGUUAAGCGCAGAAGGACGAAAAGACCCCGGGACCUUUACUAUACCUUGGUAUUGGCAUUCGGUGUGGAUUGUGUAGCAUAGGCGGAAGGCUUCGAAGCCACGGCGCCAGCCGCGGUGGAGCCGCAAGGUGAAAUACCGCUCUGUUCGCAUUGGAUGUCUAACCUCGACCAGUCAUCCUGGUCAGGGACAGUGCCUGGCGGGUAGUUUAACUGGGGCGGUUGCCUCCCAAAGAGUAACGGAGGCGCUCAAAGGUUCCCUCAGCCCGGUUGGCAAUCGGGUGGCGAGUGUAAGUGCACAAGGGAGCUUGACUGCGAGACUGACGGGUCGAGCAGGGACGAAAGUCGGAACUAGUGAUCC